rnacentral:rRNA from 1 species
AUGGCGAAAGCGGAGACACCUGCCAUAGACGCGCUGGACGCGGACACGCCGGCCGUGGUGGACGAGCAGGCACCGGCCGUGGAUGCAUCCUCCAGUCCUCAAAGGCGCCGCUCCAUGUCCAAGAACUCGCCCAGACUCGCCGGCGGCUCCGCUGGCGUCGUCGCGGCAGAACCAUUACCAGCUUCCACCCUGCCGCCAUCUCCUCCUUCGGCAUCCGCCCGCGUGGGCCCUCCCUCUCCUACCGGCACCGUCGGCGCCCUCGCCAACCGCUGGUGCCCACCACCGCCGAGCGCCGACACGCCCAUCCCCGACGCCGGGCUCCGGUUCGGAAAGAAAGACUCCGUCGGCGUGUGGCGUGCAUCAGGCGAGGAGAUCAGGGAUCUGUCGUUCGAUCUGGUUCGAACGAGCGAAUGA